UACGUAGGCAGCAAGCGUUGUUCGGAGUUACUGGGCGUAAAGAGCUCGUAGGCGGUCUGUUGCGUCGGCUGUGAAAACCCGAGGCUCAACCUCGGGCCUGCAGCCGAUACGGGCAGACUAGAGUUCGGCAGGGGAGACUGGAAUUCCUGGUGUAGCGGUGAAAUGCGCAGAUAUCAGGAGGAACACCGGUGGCGAAGGCGGGUCUCUGGGCCGAUACUGACGCUGAGGAGCGAAAGCGUGGGGAGCGAACAGG
rnacentral:rRNA from 1 species